rnacentral:tRNA from 1 species
GGCGAGUUAGCCAAGUGGUAAGGCAGAGGUCUGCAAAACCUCCACCGCGGGUUCGAGUCCCGCACUCGCCUCCA